rnacentral:rRNA from 1 species
GGUCCGGCUAAUUACGUGCCAGCAGCCGCGGUAAUACGUAGGGGCGAGCGUUGUCCGGAAUUAUUGGGCGUAAAGGGUACGUAGGCGGCUUUUUAAGUUUGACGUGAAAGCCCGGGGCUUAACUCCGGCAAGCGUUGAAAACUGGAGGGCUUGAGUGAUGGAAGGGACAGUGGAAUUCCUGGUGUAGUGGUGAAAUGCGCAGAGAUCAGGAAGAAUACCAGUGGCGAAGGCGACUGUCUGGACAUUAACUGACGCUGAGGUACGAAAGCGUGGGGAGCAAACAGGAUCAGAUACCCUGGUAGUCCACGCUGUAAACGAUGAGUGCAAGGUGUUGGGGGUCAAACCUCGGUGCCGCCGUUAACACAGUAAGCACUCCGCCUGGGGAGUACGUACGCA